UAGAAGUGUAAUCAGUUAGCACAGCUUAAAAAUUUUGUAGUCUUCCUUAAAAAGCUGAGGACAAGGGAUGACAUGCCUGGGCAUGUUUUGUUUUUCGACCACACCAGACUCGACACGCAGAGGAGCAGAAAGAAACGUUGUUCGUAAAAUUGUGAAACUUUAAGGCUUGGAGCCGGAAACACACUCCUCACACUCUUGAUGACUUCAAACCUGAGCUUGUGCAAAGAUAACCUUGGUGCCCACUCUAUUGGAGGAUUUGUGGAGAGCUUCUCAAGUACACAUGUGUGCAGGUUCUGUCUUGGAGAAAGAUCCCAGUUUCAAAUGAUCCAAUGUCUCAGCAAGCCAAACUUCGAAUAAUUCUUCAUGACCAUGAUAUCCGCAAACUUGACUUACCUGAUGGCCUCCCUGGGACUGUGGGUGAACUAGAGUCCAUUGUAAGAGAGACAUUUGGGCUUCAAGGGAACUUUAAUUUGCAUUAUAGAGAUGCUGAUUUUGGAGAAGAAUAUUUCAGUCUUACCUCAACAAGUGACAUCAAGGACAAGGACACAAUAAAAGUGGUUAACAUUGCUGAACCUCCUGCAUUUACCCUGAAAUUAACUGAAGUGGACAGUUCCUUUGAUAGUCUAUCAGAAACCUCCAUUCAUAGCUCAGCAACCUCUACUAGAGCUGCAGUG